GUGCGGCAACCUCGUUUCGGAUCCAACAUGGCGGGUGAGAUAAGCCCGUCGUGCGGCGCAUUGCUACCUGGAGUGGGAUCGAUUGCACAGCGCCCUGCAGGGGUUCCAUAGUGAGUUUGAGAAGUGUUCUGUUCUGGGAGAGCGCUGACUUCCUGGUACGGGACAAUGGACAUGUUUUACUCUAGUUUGGCUGGGAAAACACACGCAGCGAUGUGAUCAAGACGGACACGUCGAGUUAGAACAAGGUCAUGAGUGCCUCUAGGAGGGCACCUGUGGAGAACGACCGCACCUGUCCAAAACCCCGCCUGGGCCCUGCCCUGUUCCCCAACCCCGGCCUCCACUAUGACGCUCCACUACAUGUGGCCUAUGGAUGCUUCAUGUGGAGAGGUGUUAAAUGGGCUCAGUCUGUCUGCACCUCCUGCUCCCUGUGGCUGAACCAUAUGGCAGAGAGGAGAGAGUGCUGCGUCCUUGACUCGCCACGGCAAUCACCCAUCAAUCAGCCCCGCAGUGCAUGAUGGGAAGGGGCAUGGGGUGUAGCAGGAUGCACACUCCACCGUGUGUGUGUGUGUGUGUGUGUGUGUGUGUGAGUGAGUGAGUGAGUACAGCUGUGCCUGGGCCAUCUUUGUCCAUGGUGUUGAAUCUGACAGUGUCUAAUGGGACAUGCUGCAUUCUAUGGAGAAGUGAGCUGUGAAUCACACCAUGUCUGAGCUUCUGCUCAGUUCUAUGUUAAGAUAUUGCACUUGGAAUGUGUCUUGGCUCAGAAUACAUGGGCAAUAAUUAAGAGCUUCGGGUGUGUGUGUUUUGCUGAGUGUGAAUUAAGUUAGCGGUAUCAAAGGAAUGAAAAGGUGCGUCCACACUCAUAACUAAAACAUUGGACAAACAAAGUUAUCUGGCUGUUAUCUGGAUAUCUUCUUUCAAAGGGGACUUUUCCCACGGCUCUUUAUCAAGUCGAAUUCCAGAUUCAACAAAGCAAAAAAUAUUUAAGAGCAUUUCAGAAUGAAUGUAUUGCAUAGAGCUGGCCUGAUUGUCCAGUAUGUCCACAUCUAUUAUAGUAGAACAUGUCCGUUCCAUACAGUGCAUUUCUAUCUGCAGUGCUCUGAGUAGGCUAGGUCUCUGGCUGGUGCUGAAGGGUUGCUAGUAGGUUACCGGGGCAACCCUGUGCAUGUGAGGUGUCCACUGUAAGGUGAUUGGAUUAGCCAGAUGCUGUGGAGGGGAGUGCUGAGAGAGUAAACUCGACUACUGCCUUUUCCUCUGCGCGCUCCAACGCUCAUAAACAUGCAGGGUAAGCGUGGGACCGUGUGCGCAUGUUUGUGAUCUGGCUUAUGGUCCACAAGGUGUCUGAUUUUGAGUGAUGGAUGAACAUGUAAUUGAUAGUAACAGACGAGAGAUACCUGCCAGGAACUUGGUGCUAAGCAGGUAUUUAUAGCUUACGUCCGCUGCUCUGUGCUCUCACACUGCAAACUGGGCUAUUUAGGGUUAGGAGAGAAUUGGGCGGGAAACCACUCACGGAACACACUUGGUGAUUUCUCACUAAAGUAGCCCCCCAAAAAAGACCAUGAUUUUUAUGAAAUUUCAACCAUCAAAGCUUUUUUUUGAGUGAGGAUUGUAGACAUAUAUUUGACAUUAGUAUAUUAAAGCAUAAUAUAUGAAUAAUGAAUAGAAAUUGGACAUUUUGCCCUGUACACGGCCUCCUUUUAAGACUCCAUCGUGUUUAAUCUGUGGGCGCUACAAAGUAAAAGUUGGUGUCAUAUGAAGCUUUACCACUUGCUCUGUGAUAUGAAUAGUAUUUUUAAUUCAAUAACAAAUGUCUUACAUAUGUUUAUGAAUAUUGAAAAAUAUAAACAUGAUUAUAGAAAAUCUA